rnacentral:rRNA from 1 species
ACACGUCAUACAAUGGUCGGUACAGAGGGUUGCCAACCCGCGAGGGGGAGCUAAUCCCACAAAGCCGAUCGUAGUCCGGAUCGCAGUCUGCAACUCGACUGCGUGAAGUCGGAAUCGCUAGUAAUCGUGGAUCAGCAUGCCACGGUGAAUACGUUCCCGGGCCUU